GGUUGUUGCAGAUACGGGACCUCUUCUGUAUCCCGCGGCCACAGCGAGCGUUGCACUCUGACCACUGGGACCACGGCGACCAGGCGCCGUUCACUGGAAUACAUUUCGACUCAAGGGAAGAUAGACAAUAGAGGAGGUUAGCCAUGCCAAGGGGGGACGAAGCUUGGUCAACUUCAAAUGGCGACCACAUAAACCUCAGCCACCACAAGCUCUCUCCCGCUACGCUAACCAAACACCACGAGAUUGUCGGCGACAAAAGCAGCGAUCUCAUGGCGGCAGCGGCAUGGCUGAGUGUUGAGACAUCCUCGCCCAGUCUUUGUAACUUGUAUUGUUUGAUAUAAAAAAUGGCCGUACGAGAAAUUUCAAAGAAAGUUCAACUGUUUGAUAUAUGAAAUAAAUAAUUUGGUUUCUAUUGUCAUAA